rnacentral:rRNA from 1 species
AGUGAACGCUGGCGGCAGGCCUAAUACAUGCAAGUCGAACGGCAGCACAGCAGAGCUUGCUCUGUGGGUGGCGAGUGGCGGACGGGUGAGGAAUACAUGGGAAUCUGCCCAGUCGUGGGGGAUAACGUAGGGAAACUUACGCUAAUACCGCAUGCGCCCUUCGGGGGAAAGCCGGGGACCUUCGGGCCUGGCGCGAUUGGAUGAGCCCAUGUCGGAUUAGCUAGUUGGCGGGGUAAUGGCCCACCAAGGCGACGAUCCGUAGCUGGUCUGAGAGGAUGAUCAGCCACACUGGAACUGAGACACGGUCCAGACUCCUACGGGAGGCAGCAGUAGGGAAUAUUGGACAAUGGGCGCAAGCCUGAUCCAGCCAUGCCGCGUGAGUGAAGAAGGCCCUCGGGUUGUAAAGCUCUGUUGUAAGGGACGAAGGAUUGGGGUAGUAACUGACCCCAAGGUGACGGUACCUUACGAGGAAGCCCCGGCUAACUACGUGCCAGC